rnacentral:rRNA from 1 species
ACUCCUGCGGGAGGCAGCAGUGGGGAAUAUUGCACAAUGGGCGCAAGCCUGAUGCAGCCAUGCCGCGUGUAUGAAGAAGGCCUUCGGGUUGUAAAGUACUUUCAGCGGGGAGGAAGGCAAUACGGUUAAUAACCGUGUUGAUUGACGUUACCCGCAGAAGAAGCACCGGCUAACUCCGUGCCAGCAGCCGCGGUAAUACGGAGGGUGCAAGCGUUAAUCGGAAUUACUGGGCGUAAAGCGCACGCAGGCGGUCUGUCAAGUCGGAUGUGAAAUCCCCGGGCUCAACCUGGGAACUGCAUUCGAAACUGGCAGGCUUGAGUCUUGUAGAGGGGGGUAGAAUUCCAGGUGUAGCGGUGAAAUGCGUAGAGAUCUGGAGGAAUACCGGUGGCGAAGGCGGCCCCCUGGACAAAGACUGACGCUCAGGUGCGAAAGCGUGGGGAGCAAACAGGAUUAGAUACCCUAGUAGUCCCAUGA